rnacentral:misc_RNA from 1 species
AAAAAAAAACAAAAAGAAAAUUGAUGCUCCACAUUCGUUGGUUUUUAUUCAUCUAUUUCUGUGUUCAAUUUUGAAAAAUUCGGUCCGUCGUCCAAAUUCACUUUUCAACGAAGUAUCUAUACGCGUACACACCUAUCUGUGCGUAUAAUACAAAGGUAAAAUAACCCGCACGUUUGCUGCACCCACGAAACUUUGACGCGGGAUAUAGCUACCGCGGUCGGAAAUCGAUGAACUCAGCUGACUUUCCACCCUCUUUCCAAGGCUAUCUGCCAAAGUGAAUGGCGCCAAGGUUAUACAUACAAUUUAAACAAUUGUAUAAUCAGAACAAUAUUACAUGUAACGUAAAUGCCGAGUGCAGUGUAAAAUUGGUAUAACAGCGGAACAAGAUUAAAUGAAGCAAAAAAAUAAAAAAUUUAUAUAUAUACACACAUACAUAUAUAUACGUUGAAUAAAGCAAAUUAAUAAUCACGGUAUUAAAAAAAAAAAAAGAAGAGAGAGGAAAAACGAAUUAUAUAAAACUUGAAAAUAAUUGACGUAAUACAAUAUACACGAGAGAUAAAAUUAUAGAUGAAACUUUAUAGAUAUAUUAUAAAUAUUGUACAUAUACACGGAUAAAGCAAUUUUAUUUAAAUUAUAUCAUAUUAUUGAAAUUGUUGUGUUUGUGAAAAAAUAAUUAAAUUAAAAGAGAUAAAGAAAUAAAAUAGGAAAAUUAUUAAUUUUUCAAGGCUGAUCCGCUGG